GGGGAAUAUUGCGCAAUGGGGGAAACCCUGACGCAGCAACGCCGCGUGAGCGAUGAAGGUCUUCGGAUUGUAAAGCUCUGUCUUUAGGGACGAUAAUGACGGUACCUAAGGAGGAAGCCACGGCUAACUACGUGCCAGCAGCCGCGGUAAUACGUAGGUGGCAAGCGUUGUCCGGAUUUACUGGGCGUAAAGAGUAUGUAGGCGGAUAUUUAAGUCAGAUGUGAAAUUCCCGGGCUUAACCUGGGCGCUGCAUCUGAUACUGGAUAUCUAGAGUGUGGGAGAGGAAAGUGGAAUUCCUAGUGUAGCGGUGAAAUGCGUAGAGAUUAGGAAGAACACCAGUGGCGAAGGCGGCUUUCUGGACCAUAACUGACGCUGAAGCACGAAAGCAUGGGUAGCAAAC
rnacentral:rRNA from 1 species